GGCCAAAAUAAAUCAUUCGGUCUCGAGACCCCAACCAGUACGGGUCUCCUAAAUAAAUAGUUGUAAGUUUAGUUUUUAUUUAAUUUAAUUUAAAAGGUAAAAAUAGGAAAAAGUAGUGAAAUAAUAAAAUUGUGAAAAAUAAUAAAGUGAAAAAAUAAUAAAGUAAAAAAAUAAUAAAGUAAAAAAAAUAAUAAAGUGAAAAAAAAAUUUUAAAUAAAUUAAAAUUGUUGAAAAAUACAAUAAUAAAAUAAAAAAGUGAAAAAAAUAAAAUAGUGAAAAAAAUAAAAAAGUGAAAAUAAUAAAAUAGGAAAAAAAAAUAAUAUAAUGAUGAAUAAAAUUUAAAAAGUGAAACAAAAAUAUUGUGAACAAUACAAAUAAUAAAAAUCAGAAAUUGAAAUAACAAAAAUUCAAGAAAAUAAAAUUGUGAAAAUACAAUUAUGAAUAAAAUUGUGGAAUAAUAAAAUCGUAAAAUAAAAAACUAAAAUUUCAAAUAAUAAUAUGAAAAAAAAAUAAAAAAAAAUGAAAAAUUUAUACAAAUUGUGAUAAAAAGUGACUGCGAUGGAGUUCUUAAAAUGGCAAGUAAAACUAUUUUAAAAGCUAAAAUAUUACAGGCCAUAGACUUAAGGUUUAAAAAGAAGUUUCCUUAUUUGCUGGUAUUGUUAUUUUUUCAUAAAGAUUCAGGAAUUCAUUCUUCACAGUGGGCUAUAUUGAACGCACUCAAUGAACUACUUGGUAUAACUGGUAACUGAGUGGAGGGAUCAGUACUUCUAUUUUGUUGGACUUGUUCCACUUUAUAGCUCCAAAAUGCAUAAUGGGCUCUUAUUCUUUGGCAUGAUCCCUUUUAAUGGUUAUGGAAGGCUUUUUUAUCCAGAAAGUCUCAAUAGGAUCUCGGACCAUUAUCACUUAUUUGCUGGUUUUUUUUUCUCAUUAUCGCUUUCGUCGCUUUCCGAAUCUUUUUUCCCUCCGGUCUCCUGGCUAUUCUUACAUAUCCAUACAGUGGCCUCUAACGAUCGACCGAACGUAAAAGUAAAAGUUAGAAUAACUGGUAGCUGUAUGGAGAGAUUCUUGAUCUCAUUUGCUGAUUUCUUUAUUUUUUAAUCAAUAUUGCGAUGUUCAUUCCCCACAGUGGGAUCUCACAAAGGCGCAUCUUAUAAAUUUGUUAAACGGGCAUCCAUAAAGAUCCUUGAGCUCCUUUUCUCUUUUCCUUUAUACUUCGGAGAUGGGCGAUCGAAUACGGUAGUUUGAAGAUUAAUUCAAUCUGGUAUUUUUAUUUUUUUUCGAUUAAGUUUGCAACAUUUCCCUCCAGUGGCCUCUAACGAACGCCCGAACGUAAAAGUUAGAAUAACUGGUAGCUGUAUGGAGAGAUUCUUGAUCCAAGAGCUCCUCCCUUUUCUCAUUUGCUGAUUUAUUUAUUUUUUAAUCAAUAUUGCGAUGUUUAUUCCCCACAGUGGGAUCUGACAAAUGCGCAUCUGAUCAAUUUGUUACACGGGUAUCUAUAUAGAUCCUUGAACUCCUUUUCUCUUUUCCUUUACUUCGGCGAUCGAAUAACGCAAUUAUAGAAACCCAUCGAAGAGUUCCUGAUUAUUAUUCUAACAAAUUAUGUUUAAUUUGAAGUUUUCCAUCAUGCUGCCCCAUAACUAUUCCUCCAAUCUCACUUGACCAGUAGGUCUGGAUCGGAUCACAACUACGCCUCUUUCUGAUUUUCUGAUUUUUUUUAAACCUUUUUCAAAUUAUUUUUCAUUUUAUGCUCUACGGCCCGUGGAACUCUAUUUCCCCGGCAUGAUCCCCUUAACCAUUCCUCCAAUCUCACUCGACCAGUGGGUCUGGAUCGGAUCACAACUACGCCUCUUAUUUGCUUGUUUGUUUUUGAAUAAAGUAUUACUUUUCCCCCAGAGGGCUCUCACGAAUGCGCAUCUGACGAGCUCCUGGUUUGUAGCUCCUUGAGGUCCUUCUCUCUUCCCUACUUGUGAACGGGUGGCCCAUUUAGGAGAUGGACAGUUGGGUGGUCCCCCGUGACUUCUCCUUUGCUUCUUAUGCUUCCUGCUGCUUCUCAUGCCUCCUGUUUGCUCCCUCUUAUAAUAUCCUUGGGUCCUAAUAAAGAAUCUUGAAGUACCUCAGAUCAAUGUGGUUGGCUCCUCUCUGGUUCCGUUUUAAUAAACGACGAGCAGUGGCCCCUCCAGUCUUGGCCCUUUCUGUUCAGUCGUCCUUCCGCAAGGACAUUCCAUUGAUCCCUUCUUGUAUAUGCCCUGAUGCAGUCCUGAUUUCCUCAUUUCUUGUUGAUCCUUUCUCGCACUACAGAUGAGCCCCUAGUUCCGUCAUUUGUAGCCGCUGACUGGUCGCUUAUGUCACUUAGAAAACGAUUUCUUUUUGAAAUCAUCAUUGAGGACAGUCGGUCUUCCUCCAUAACUGCUGGAAGAGGUCCUUUUGACAUCUGAUUUCCUCAUUUCAUUAUCCCAAUUGAUCAUAUAUCACAUGUGUUCCUGAUUCAGUUCCUUCAAUUAGUUGGAUCUAGAUUCCACACCGUUUCAAAUGGUUGGAUAAGCUGAUAUUUCUUUGUAAAUGGAUGAGGUCCUUGGUGCAUCCUUGAUGUUCUUGAAGCCAUAGGGGUCGACUUAUCCUCAGAUCCUUCUGGACGUGUGGUUCUCCUUUCUUUUGUUCCUGUUUCCUGUCCAGUUUCACGGACGGCGCGGAGUGGGCUCUCCAGUCUUGGCCCUUUCUGUUCAGUCGUCCUGCUGCCAGGACGUCCCUCCUUUCCUGAUUUCCUUCCAGCUUCCAUUGCCUUAUGUUUCCUUGCACUAUCUGUGACUGUCAUCGGUAACACACGUGCAGUUGUUGCAAUUUGUCCAUCUUGGUUGCAAGUCCCUUAUUUCCUCAUAUUUAAAUCUGGUAUAAGCGUUGAUCAAGAGUAAAAAGAGUCUUGGAACCUAAGUUAUCCGGUCCAAUACCUAUCCAUCCUGUUGCUUCCAUGGAGACCCUCAGGACAUCUGAUUUCCUUCGUACUAUUUUUGAAACUUCUAUUGGGCAGAGACAGUGGCCCCUCCAGUCUUUGCUCUUUCUGCUCAAUUAUGGUGUCUGAUUUUCUUAUUUUCUUUGAUG